CUAAUAAUGUGAAACUGUAAAAAAAAAAGGCAUUAGAUAGAUAUAUAUGAAAUACAAAAUAGCUAAAUGACAGGAAGUGUGCACUUGUUUAGUUGGUUCGCAAGCACUUCAGUGAAAGCACAGAAGAAAGAGGGAAAUCAUUUAUACAGCGAUUAUGAGGGAAAGGAAAAGCAACUAUGGCCUCUGGUUUGUAAAUCAGUUCACUCUUUCAACAUCCCUGGACUCUUUGAUGUUCCUAGCGAAUUCACAUCGAGUGAGGUCAAGAACUAGCUAGUCAUCAUUACAAAUCUGUAUCCAGACAGGUGAGUAGUGGAGAUCAGGGGAUGAAACAUCUGCAGAUCUGAACCUCUCAGGAACAUCAUGGACAGAAGACAGAACUAAUUUAAAGAUUAGAUUUUUAUUACACAGGUGUUGUAGCAUUGCAUCAGUGUCUCAUCAGUGGAUAUUCUGCAGUGAAUGGGUGCCGUCAGAAUGAGAGUCCAAACAGCUGAUAAUAACAUCACAAUAAUCCACAACACUCCAGUCCAUCAGUUAACAACUGGAGAAGACAAAAGAUGAAACAAAUCCAUCAAGACGUCCUGGAUUUCAAGAUCAGUCUUGGUUUCACGUGUUUACUUGUGCAGGCCUUUUUUUUAUUGUUUGCAUUUAGCUUAAAACCUAAUGGCAUUCUUGACUUUUUGCAGUGUUUUCAUGAAUGAAAUCUCAAGAGGAUCACUCUGUUUUUAUUCUCUUUAUUAACAGCAGAGGUCAGUGGCAGUCAGAUCAGCAGCUCAGAUUUCUAUUUCAGUUCACACCUAAAGAGAAAUCUAUUAAUAAGGUAUGAUAUUUAUUCCACAGACUCCAAUGUUCAUUCAUUUUUGACGCUCAGACAUUCAUCGAAUCUCAAAGGAUGUGCAAGCUGUGGAGAUGUUUUCUCCUGGAUCGUGUUUCACAAUAUAUAUCUUGUGCAUAAGGCGAUAUUUCUGUGAUUUCCCAGCUGUUUUAAUGAUCUAGAUUAAAAAAAGAUCUCAGUAUUUUCACUAUUUAGAUCUAUGCUAUCGCUUUUAGCCGAACAGGAAGUGAAAUCAAGGAUUUUGGUAAGAAGUUUUUGGGGUUUAACAGUGAAACAUGCAGUGUUUAGUGUGUAACUACCAUUUAUCAUGGUUUUCCAGAACAGACACCUAAGUGCGCUAUACGUCUAUUCCAAGCUAACUUUUUUUGCUUUUCAAUUUGGAGAAAUGUUAAUUUUUUUUUACUGUUUUCCAAAGAAGUCUGUUCUGCUAAGGCUGUAAUUAUUUGAGCACAAAUACAGUAAUACUGUGCAAUGUUAUUACAAUUGAAAAUAGCUGUUUUCUAUGUGAAUAUAUGUUAGAAUACAUCACAUGAUCUUCAGAAAUCAUUCUAAUAUGAUGAGUUACUGCUCAAGAAUCAUUUCUGAUUAUUAUUAGUGUUGGGCUGCUUCAUAUUUAUGUGGAAGUUGAGUUUUUUUUUCAGGAUUAUUUGAAGAACAGAAACUCCAAACAACAGCAUUUAUUAGAAAUAGAAAUCUUUAAAUGAGGAAGAUCACAUUAACAUUUUAUAACCAGUAUAAACAUGAAUAAUGUGUAAAAAUAGAGAGAAAAUCCACACAUACCAAUGUUUCCUUCGAUCGAGACUCUCUUUAUUGCAUUGCUUUUACUCAUAUUCAUCCCCAUGUAUCCUUAAAAAAAUUAUAUUUACAUUAUUUAUCUAUAUCUAUACUAUUU